rnacentral:rRNA from 1 species
GACGAACGCUGGCGGCGUGCUUAACACAUGCAAGUCGAACGGAAAGGCCCCUUUGGGGGUACUCGAGUGGCGAACGGGUGAGUAACACGUGAGUAACCUGCCCUUGACUUCGGGAUAACUUCAGGAAACUGGGGCUAAUACCGGAUAGGAAUCCUUGCUGCAUGGUGGGGGUUGGAAAGCUUCGGCGGUUUUGGAUGGACUCGCGGCUUAUCAGCUUGUUGGUGGGGUAGUGGCUUACCAAGGCUUUGACGGGUAGCCGGCCUGAGGGGGCGACCGGCCACAUUGGGACUGAGAUACGGCCCAGACUCCUACGGGAGGCAGCAGUGGGGAAUAUUGCACAAUGGGCGGAAGCCUGAUGCAGCAACGCCGCGUGCGGGAUGACGGCCUUCGGGUUGUAAACCGCUUUCAGCAGGGGCGAAGCUUGUGGUGACGGUACCUGCAGAAGAAGCACCGGCUAACUACGUG